rnacentral:rRNA from 1 species
UAGGUGACCUGCGGAAGGAUCAUUACUGAGUGCGGGCUGCCUCCGGGCGCCCAACCUCCCACCCGUGACUACCUAACACUGUUGCUUCGGCGGGGAGCCCUCUCGGGGGCGAGCCGCCGGGGACUACUGAACUUCAUGCCUGAGAGUGAUGCAGUCUGAGUCUGAAUAUAAAAUCAGUCAAAACUUUCAACAAUGGAUCUCUUGGUUCCGGCAUCGAUGAAGAACGCAGCGAACUGCGAUAAGUAAUGUGAAUUGCAGAAUUCAGUGAAUCAUCGAGUCUUUGAACGCACAUUGCGCCCCCUGGCAUUCCGGGGGGCAUGCCUGUCCGAGCGUCAUUGCUGCCCAUCAAGCCCGGCUUGUGUGUUGGGUCGUCGUCCCCCCCGGGGGACGGGCCCGAAAGGCAGCGGCGGCACCGUGUCCGGUCCUCGAGCGUAUGGGGCUUUGUCACCCGCUCGAUUUAGGGCCGGCCGGGCGCCAGCCGACGUCCAACCAUUUUUCUUCAGGUUGACCUCGGAUCAGGUAGGGAUACCCGCUGAACUUAAGCAUAUCAAUAAGCGGAGGAAAAGAAACCAACCGGGAUUGCCCCAGUAACGGCGAGUGAAGCGGCAAGAGCUCAAAUUUGAAAUC